AUAAUCAAGAAGACAAGUUAGAUUAGGUCACACCCUUUUAGCGAGUGCUGGUUGGUGAGAAGAGCACAGGGUGUCUAGUGUAAUACUCCUUCCUUGCUUUUAUGCAAACAUAAAACGGUGGUCACGAUAUAGCCAAGUUGAGGUGCAGGACAAGAGUCUUUUGUCGUGCAUAAAUGAAGGUGGAACCACGCUGAUUGCGUCCUUUGG
rnacentral:ncRNA from 1 species